UAAUGUUCUGACUCUUUGUGGUAGCAUGUGGCAUGAGAGGGUCUCUGAGGUGGUUGGUCUGCCAAUAGCCAGUGUGUCAGAGAUAGAUAUAGAAAGAUAGAGAUCACACUGUGUAUAUACACAUAUA